rnacentral:rRNA from 1 species
GACGUAGGAGGCGAGCGUUGUCCGGAUUCAUUGGGCGUAAAGAGCGCGCAGGCGGCUUGGUAAGUCGGAUGUGAAAUCCCGAGGCUCAACCUCGGGUCUGCAUCCGAUACUGCCCGGCUAGAGGUAGGUAGGGGAGAUCGGAAUUCCUGGUGUAGCGGUGAAAUGCGCAGAUAUCAGGAGGAACACCGGUGGCGAAGGCGGGUCUCUGGGCCGUAACUGACGCUGAGGAGCGAAAGCGUGGGGAGCGAACAGG